rnacentral:rRNA from 1 species
GAGUGCGUAGGUGGCACCUUAAGCGCAGGGUUUAAGGCAAUGGCUCAACCAUUGUUCGCCUUGCGAACUGGGGUGCUUGAGUGCAGGAGGGGAAAGUGGAAUUCCUAGUGUAGCGGUGAAAUGCGUAGAUAUUAGGAGGAACACCAGUGGCGAAGGCGACUUUCUGGACUGUUACUGACACUGAGGCACGAAAGCGUGGGGAGCAAACAGGAUUAGAUACCCUGGUAGUCCACGCCGUAAACGAUGAGCACUAGGUGUCGGGGUCGCAAGACUUCGGUGCCGCAGUUAACGCAUUAAGUGCUCCGCCUGGGGAGUACGCACGCAAGUGUAAAACUCAAAGGAAUUGACGGGGACCCGCACAAGCAGCGGAGCAUGUGGUUUAAUUCGAAGCAACGCGAAGAACCUUACCAGGACUUGACAUCCUCUUGACAGAUUCUUAAUCGGAUCCUUCUUCGGACAAGAGAGACAGGUGGUGCAUGGUUGUCGUCAGCUCGUGUCGUGAG